rnacentral:rRNA from 1 species
AAACCAACAGGGAUUGCCUCAGUAACGGCGAGUGAAGCGGCAACAGCUCAAAUUUGAAAUCUGGCCUUACGGUCCGAGUUGUAAUUUGUAGAGGAUGUUUUGGGCACCGCUCCGGGUUAAAUUUCUUGGAACAGAAUGUCAAAGAGGGUGAGAGUCCCGUCUUGGCCCGCGGUAGGACCUAUGUAAAACUCCUUCGACGAGUCGACUUGUUUGGGAAUGCAGGUCAAAAUGGGUGGUAAAUUUCAUCUAAAGCUAAAUAUUGGCCAGAGACCGAUAGCGCACAAGUAGAGUGAUCGAAAGAUGAAAAGCACUUUGAAAAGAGAGUUAAACAGUAUGUGAAAUUGUUGAAAGGGAAGCGCUGGCAACCAGACUCGAGCGCGGUGUUCCCCCUGGCUUCUGCCUGGGUUAUUUCACCGUGACCGGGCCAUCAUCAGUUUCGAGGGUUGGUUAAAGGUCCAGGGAAUGUAUCCACUCCUUCGGGGGUGGACUUAUAGCCCUGGGCGUCAUGCAGCCUCCCGGGACUGAGGAACGCGCUUCGGCGAGGAUGAUGGCGUAAUGGUUGUCAGCGAC